rnacentral:rRNA from 1 species
AGUAGUUUGAUCAGUGGCUCAGAGCGAACGCUGGCGGCAGGCUUAACACAUGCAAGUCGAACGGGCGUAGCAAUACGUCAGUGGCAGACGGGUGAGUAACACGUGGGAACGUACCCUUUGGUUCGGAACAACACAGGGAAACUUGUGCUAAUACCGGAUAAGCCCUUACGGGGAAAGAUUUAUCGCCGAAGGAUCGGCCCGCGUCUGAUUAGCUUGUUGGUGAGGUAAUGGCUCACCAAGGCGACGAUCAGUAGCUGGUCUGAGAGGAUGAUCAGCCACACUGGGACUGAGACACGGCCCAGACUCCUACGGGAGGCAGCAGUGGGGAAUAUUGGACAAUGGGCGCAAGCCUGAUCCAGCCAUGCCGCGUGAGUGAUGAAGGCCCUAGGGUUGUAAAGCUCUUUUGGCGGGGAAGAUAAUGACGGUACCCGCAGAAUAAGCCCCGGCUAACUUCGUG